GGGGCCGUAGCUCAGUUGGGAGAGCGCUUGCAUGGCAUGCAAGAGGUCGUCGGUUCAAGCCCGAUCGGCUCCA
rnacentral:tRNA from 1 species